AACAGUAUCAAGCAUAUACGAGCACACGAUCCAUCUUACAGUUACAGAAUCACCGAGACAGAGAAAAUACAUCAAUAAUUCUCCUCUACAUUUUUUUUUUCCUUUCUUUUUCUUCUCUUUUUCUUUCCAUUAAUUUUGUUCCCCACUCCAUCAACUCCACUACCCUAUGCUCCCCACCAUCUCCACUACCUUUGCUCCCCAUCAACUCCAACACUUCACCCAUUCCUUCCAUUUCGCACCAGCAAUCACAAAGAGAAGGAAGACUUGGCUUAACUACUUUGCCAAGAUUUCAAGCUGCUCCAGUCCAGUAGUACCCCAACACUCGAAGCUAGAGUUUAUUGGGUGAAAAACCGUGCAUGAGGUCGAGCGCAAGAAUAAGAGCUCGUCAAGGAGUCACUAAUCUGUAGCAAAGCUUUGCUAUCAGGUGGGUUACUUUCAUAUAUAUCAAAUGAGUUUAAUGUUAUGUUUGAACAGUUAUUUCAUUGCAAAAUCUUUGAACUGAAAAUUAUUUCAAAUGUUGUCUUGCCAUAAAUGUUUCAAUGUUUGGUAUGAUAUCUAUCUGAUGUGGCUUUGCCAGUUAUUAUGCAAUCGAAUUCGGGUCCUGAGCAGUUGAUAGCUAUCCUGCCAGGGCUAGUGUACACCAGUGACCGUGAGUCAUCUAGCGGGUUGGCCGGUCAAGUGACCGUGAGAGGUGGCCACCUCUCCGGCACACAGUUCCAGAUAUGAUAGAUUACAAGAGAACUUAGUCUGCAGACGAACUUUAAGAAUCACAAAUGAAUUUAGUAAGCUUGGGCCUUUUUAGCGAAAAACUCCCUUGCUGUACUGUUUAUGAUGGCAUGACAAUUUACAACUUUACGAAGCAUGUUAUAUUUCAUAGUAGGCAUAUGUGCCCACUGAGUACUUUUGUACUCAGCCCUGCAUAUAUUUCUAAAUGUGCAGGUUAAGCAGCUGCCGAUGGUGAUGAAGUGACGAGCGGGACUCUUUUGUCUUAUUAUGUAUUAAUGAACUCUAGGGUUACAUGUCUUCAUACAUGUAAUCAGAACCUUAUUCCGCUGCGUACUCAGAAGUUUUAUGUUAUUUUGGAUAAGUCGGAGUUAUCCGAACUUGUUAGUUAUUUGAGUCUAUACGACAAAAACUCUGUUAUAUUAUAGAUAUCCAUGUUGUUAACAAUGAUGAAAUACGAUCCUUUCUUGUUUGAUUA